rnacentral:rRNA from 1 species
GAUGAACGCUGGCGGCGUGCCUAAUACAUGCAAGUCGAGCGAACGGACGAGAAGUUUGCUUCUCUGAUGUUAGCGGCGGACGGGUGAGUAACAUGUGGAUAACCUACCUAUAAGACUGGGAUAACUUCGGGAAACCGGUGCUAAUACCGGCUAACAUUUUGAACCGCAUGGUUCAAUAGUGAAAGACGGUCUUGCUGUUACUUAUAGACGGAUCCGCGCUGGAUUAGCUAGUUGGUAAGGUAACGGCUUACCAAGGCAACGAUGCAUAGCCGACCUGAGAGGAUGAUCGGCCACACUGGAACUGAGACACGGUCCAGACUCCUACGGGAGGCAGCAGUAGGGAAUCUUGCGCAAUGGGCGAAAGCCUGACGCAGCAACGCCGCGUGAGUGAUGAAGGUCUUCGGAUCGUAAAACUCUGUUAUUAGGGAAGAACAUAUGUGUAAGUAACUGUGCACAUCUUGACGGUACCUAAUCAGAAAGCCACGGCUAACUACGUG